CUCAGUUCAGAUUGUAGGCUGAAACUCGCCUAUAUGAAGUCGGAAUUGCUAGUAAUCGCGGAUCAGCAUGCCGCGGUGAAUACGUUCCCGGGCCUUGUACACACCGCCCGUCACACCAUGAGAGUCGAUAACACCCGAAGCCUGUAGUCUAACAGCAAUGAGGACGCAGUCGAAGGUGGGAUUGAUAAUUAGGGUGAAGUCGUAACAAGGUACC
rnacentral:rRNA from 1 species